AAGCAGAAGGUGUUAGGGUGGGGGCAAAGGACUGAACUCUGACCAACCAGAAGAAAGGAAAAACUGGAGUUCCUUUCCCCUAGGCUCCAGCCCUCACCAGCAGGGACUCAACAAACGCAUCUGUCAGAUGAGUCAUGGUACCAGAAGCUUGGGAGAAGACAUGCAGAGCCAACCACUAACAAAACUGGCAAAUGAAAUAAAUGCCCAGAAACCUGCUCCA